CCCUGCCCUUUGUACACACCGCCCGUCGCUCCUACCGAUUGGAUGGUCCGGUGAACUGGUCGGACUGAUAAUUGUCACUGCGGGUGCAGUAGCAUUACGGAAAGUCCGGUGAACCUUAUCAUCUAGAGGAAGGA
rnacentral:rRNA from 1 species